GAGGAUCUUAAAUGUGAUUGAUGACAAGACUGAAGAGGAGCUAUCUCAGACUGGAUAGAGAAAAGCAGUCACUCUGUGACGACUGGAUACAGAAGAUGAAGGUUUUUAAAGCUGGUGUGGAUGAACCAAAUCCAGAUGUAAUGACAGGUGUGCACAACAAAUUCCAUGCACAGGAAAAUGUAAACAUGGGAACAAUAGUACAUACUAAGGUAAUCCUGUGUGUAGGACGUCAUCCUGACAUCGUGAGGAAACAGAAGAAUGAAGACACCUCAUUGAACUCUUGUCACAGGAACAAAUAACAGAACCACAGAAUUAUUUAGCUUGGAAAAAACCUCUGAGAUCAUUGAGUCCAACCUUUGACUGAUCACCGCCUUGCUAACUAGACCAUGGCACUAAGUGCCAUGUCCAGCUGUUUCUUGAACAUUUCCAGGGAUGGUAAUUUCACCAUUUCCCUGGGCAGUGAAUGACCCUUUCCAUGAAGAAAGGGAUCAUCCUUCUGAUGUUCAACCUGAACCUCCCCUAGCGCAGCUUAAGGCCUUUUCCUCUUGUCCUGUCACUGGUUGCCUGGGAGAAGAGACUGACCCCCACACUGCUAUAACCUCCUUUCAGGAGAGAAAGAAGAGUGAUAAGGUCACCCCUGGACCUCCUUUUCUCCAUGCUAAACAACCUAAACUCCCUCAGCCAGUUCUCAUAGGACUUUACCCUCCAGACCCUUCACCAGUUUUGUUGCUAUUCUCUGAACUCACUCCAGCACUGCAAUGUCUUUCUUGGAGUGAGGGGUCCAAAACUGGACACAAGAUUUGGGGUGUGGCCUCAUCAGUGCCAAGUACAGGGGGUGAUCACUGCCCUGGUCCUACUAGCCACACAAUUUUUGAUACAGGCCAGGAUGCCAUUGGCCUUCUAGGUCACCUGGGAACACUGCUAGCUCAUGUUCACUCAGCUGUUAACCAGCACCCCCUGCUCCUUUUCUUUGGGCAGCUUUCCAGACACUCUGCCCCCAGCCUGCAGCACUGCAUGGGGUAGUUGUGGCCAAAGUCUAGGACACAGCAAUUGGCAGUGUUGAGCAUUAUACAGGUGACCUUGGCCCAUUGAUCCAACCUUUCCCUUUGCAGAGCCUUCCUACCCUCCAGCAGAUCAAAACUUCCACUCAGCUUGGUGUCAUCCAUGAAUUUAUUGAGUGGUGCACUUGAUCCCCUUGUCAUUGAUAAAGAUAUCAAACAGAAUUGGCCCCAAUACUGAAUCCUGGGGAACACCACUUGUGAUGAGACACCAACUGGAACAAUAACGACAGUAACGUUGUCCAAAACAAAAACUAUUUUGUCUUCAUUAAGAUACAACUAAAUUAUUCAAUUAUAAAAUCUAAUGCAUCCUUGUUUUCUUUAAAAUAUUACUCAAAAAAAGACAAUAUAGACAAGAUACCAAAAUUGAAAAACGAAUUUUUUGAAGCAUAAAAUAAUUUUUCAAAAACACCUAACCUUGCUGAAUUCACAUUCUUCUCUCGCAUUACCCUGAUUAGGAGAAUGCUUUCUUUGUUCAUGAUUGAAGCAAGAGAGUUAAAAAUUUGCAUAUGUUAAUAUUGAAA